ensembl:lncRNA
UGGCUGCGACCUCUAGAGGCUGAGCUGGGAAAGGCGGCAGGCGUCGGCCUGGGGGCUGGUGUUGCGAGCGGAAGUGGCCCGACAGAGUUGGGAGCGAGUUGCGAAAGAGUCCGAUACAACUUAGCGAAUAAACAAACAAUCCCUGGACACGCCACCAUUUUCUAACUCAGUGACUAUUCUUCAGAUUUGUCACUUCUUAGCGGAGCCACUUUCGUUAUUCUCUGCGGUAUCAAUUUUUAAAAUUUCUCAUUGGGAGAACUGGGCGUUUUUUUGAAACGCUGAGAAAGAGGUAGACACUUGGAAGGGCAAGUGAGGAGCUCCGAGCGAUCAAGCCUCGUCUCUGGCCCCAGAUUGAAUUCUUCUCCGGAGGCCAAGGAUCCUGGCGUCUGCGUCAUUCAGCAACAAACUUUGAUCGUGGGGGCUCGUCUGGGAUUCUUCAGGACAAGGUUACUAACUAGUCUUUCAGUUUCUUCAACUGGGACAUGUCUGGUGGUCCAGUGGAUAGUACUCCAUGCUUCCAC